rnacentral:rRNA from 1 species
GCCUACGGGGGGCAGCAGUGGGGAAUAUUGCACAAUGGGCGCAAGCCUGAUGCAGCGACGCCGCGUGAGCGAAGAAGUAUUUCGGUAUGUAAAGCUCUAUCAGCAGGGAAGAAAAUGACGGUACCUGACUAAGAAGCUCCGGCUAACUACGUGCCAGCAGCCGCGGUAAUACGUAGGGGGCAAGCGUUAUCCGGAUUUACUGGGUGUAAAGGGAGCGUAGACGGCGUGCCAAGUCUGAUGUGAAAGGCCGGGGCUCAACCCCGGGACUGCAUUGGAAACUGGCAUGCUGGAGUGCCGGAGGGGCG